AACGAACGCUGGCGGCAUACCUAACACAUGCAAGUCGAGCGCCGUAGCAAUACGGAGCGGCGCACGGGUGAGUAACGCGUGGGAACCUGCCCAGAGGUUCGGGACAACCGCGGGAAACUGCGGCUGAUACCGGAUGAUACCUGAGGGUCAAAGAUUUAUCGCCUUUGGAGGGGCCCGCGUCAGAUUAGGUACUUGGUGAGGUAACGGCUCACCAAGCCUGUGAUCUGUAGCUGGUCUGAGAGGAUGACCAGCCACACGGGGACUGAGACACGGCCCAGACUCCUACGGGAGGCAGCAGUGGGGAGUAUUGGACAAUGGGGGCAACCCUGAUCCAGCAAUGCCGCGUGGGUGAUGAAGGCCUUCGGGUUGUAAAGCCCUUUCGGCGGGGACGAUGAUGACGGUACCCGCAGAAGAAGCCCCGGCUAACUUCGUGCCAGCCGCCGCCGUAAAAC
rnacentral:rRNA from 1 species